UAGUUCCAAAAUUAUAAAAAAUUUUCAAUUUUCAAAGCGAGAAGUUGGUAAUAAUUUGAUUAAAAUAAUCAUGUGCUGAAUACCACAAGUAAUAUCACGUAGCUGUUUGAUAGUUAAUGAAUCAUUCAUUAAUCGUUCAUUACUUUCUUCAUAAGGAUUCAGCCGUAGGUAGUCUGAAACUAUAAAGGUUUCCCUUUAAAAGAUAACGUAGAACUCUUGAAGCGAGUCCAAAAAAUGUUAUCAAGUUUAUUUUAAUAUUGAACUAUUCUAAUUUUAAAAAAUUCUUUCAAAAAUAUUGCUCGAAUCUACAUAAUAUGUUCAGUUUUAAGUGUUCAACAAUCCUCAUGCUUGAGGUUUUAAUAAUUUGUAUUCUUUGUCGAGCAAUAAGCCGCGUCGAAAGUCAGUUAAAUUUCUCAACUGGCUGGGGAAAACGAAAUUUACAACAUCAAUGCAGAACUUGGAAUAAUAAAAUACAAAGUAUUCCAUACUGUCUUUUCAAUUUAUCAGGCAGUAAUUAUCGUCGAUCUUCAAGGAUUUUCAAUAAAUCAAUAAUACGUGUACUGCAUAGUUCUUUGGUAGUUUGAAUGCGGAAAAGUAAAUUUAUUAGUUAAUGUAGCAUUCGCAGAAAAAAUUAAAUAUUAUUAGAAUUGUAGUCACUUUAGCAGUUUGAAAUUGAUUUAAAUGUAUUGAAGAUGCUAAAUACAGUUUUAAAAAUACGGAAUUUAUCAAACCGUUAAAAUAUUAGAACUGAAAACGAUUUCAUUUAUCCCAGUGAUACUGAAUAAUUAUCAGUUAAAAUUUACGCUUGUUAAUAGUUCUUAGUAAUUAUUUCUUGUUGCAAAAAAUUAUUGACUGUUACUUUGCUUCAAAUAUAAUUUAUAAAAUAUAAUUUUAUUACUUAAAGCAUUUUACAGUUAAUAAUCACAUAAAUAAAAGUUACUAUCAUUGA